GAAAAAAAGAUGAAAUACGGCAUAAAUUUAGUCCAUGGGAGUUUGAGGUUUAAAAAGAAGUAUGUUCUGCUUGAGAGGGGGAAGGAUACCUCGUGGGAGCCACUAACAAGCUUGGGAAAGCUUUGGAUUUCAAGAAUAACCAGGGAGAACCUCUCCUGCCUCACCACAGGUGAAAUCCCUCCUAGCAGCUGGCUUAUGAAAUAAUGCGAGGGGAGGCCUUAAUGAGCUGAAAGCACCCUCAGCUGGAGAUAAAUAUAUGCAAAUGAGAUGCACAAACAAAGGAGCCCGGACAGAGAAAUAUCUGCAAUUCCAGCAAAAUGCUGCCUGCAGCUAGAAGAUGAACAGCUUUGAUAAAAUGGCCCAGUGGCUGCCGUGCCGUCGGUCUGCAGAUGCUUGAGGACCGCGCAUGCACCAGGCUGUGUCAUUAGAGGAAGACUCAUUCCUCCAUCCUAGCUGUAGGACACAAAGAGGGGAAUAUCCAGACUCCAGUAACCCAAUACCCCAAAUCUCACAUUUCUAAAUAUACCUGAGAGAGUUAAUUACAAAAUGUUAAUGCCUGGAGGGGAGGGGGUGGAUAUAAACGGAGAGGAUAUAGGAAAAUAUCGUGUGGAGCAGGGCCCACGUUACCUGGCACUGCAACAUCAGUCAUUUAUCUGUGGCAAGAAAAGUUAUUGAUGGAAAGAUGGCUCAGAUCAAAGGCAAUGUGUGGUUUUGCCUUUGUUUUAUGGCAUACACAGCUUCACACACACCAAGGAGUACGUGCCCUACCCAUACCACUGGGGUGGUUAACAACAGAAAGGCCAGUGAUAGCCAAGGGCUGUGUGUACUAACCCCUCUUCUCCCCAAGUUUGUGAGCAGACAGCUGUUUUUAAACUAUGAAACUUAAGGAAAGAA